rnacentral:lncRNA from 1 species
AUGUGGGACACCAGUUCUCAGUUUACAGCCCAGACUUCAGCAUGGCGUGGUUCAUCAUCUGCAUCUGGAUCAGGGUUCCUGUCAAAAAUCAGAGCUAGAAAGAAUGAUCCAGGUCCCCGGAGGUGGCACUCAAUGUAUAAUCUAGCACCUAAGACAUCCACAAGAUGGUCUUCUUCAUCAGGAUCUGAAUUUAGAGUGAGUGGGGGUGAAAGCAGCUUUUAUCCAACAGAAGCAGAACGAUGGCUCCAGGAUACUCACGAUAGACUGGAAUCUCAGCUGGACUGGCUGAGGACCAGAGACAUGAACCUAAGCUACAACACAACUAUGGCGAAUAUGUUUGACACAAAACAAAAGCAGCUGUCAGAAACAAUCAGCAGAAUUGGUCGGGAUGCAUCAGAGUUUUCCCAGUUUGACACGAGCCGAGAGCAAAGAGAGCUCCAUGAAAAAGUCCUAAAGCUGGAGAAAGACCUGCUGCAGAUGAUGUCUGCUUUGGAUAAAGGAGGUGAUGAUCAGCUGAUUGGGUUCUUGGCUCCCAUCUCACUCAGCAACUUGAGUCCAAAAAACCAAGAAGUCUUUGAAAAACAGAAGAAGGAAAACAAUGAAUCAGAGCUGAACAAGUUGAGAGAGGCUCUGAAAGAAGCUGAGGCGAGGGCCAAAACCCACGAAGAAGAGAGAAACAAAGCUCUCAGUGAUCUUCGGAGAGCUGAAGAGACAAAACGGAUGAUGAGUCAUAAAAUAGAGGAGAUGGAAACGGGGUUUGAAGUGCAUGAGGAGCUGAGAGAAGCCAGCAACCAGAUCAGCCAAGCUUAUCAGGACAAAGCUAUUUUUUCCACACAUGUGCUGAAGUUGGAAAAUGAUGUCAAAUAA